rnacentral:lncRNA from 1 species
AUGUUCACGACACUGAAACUCUUUCUUUUGCCUCUCCUCCGUCUCUGGAAGCGGUGGGCUGUGCCGUGGGGCCCUGGGGGCCGUGGAGCGGAUGCAGCUCCCCGUGCGGGGUUGGCAGCAGGGCCCGCAGCCGCCAGGUCACUGUGCCGCCCCGGCACGGCGGGGAUCCCUGUCCUGACCUCAAGCAGCGCCGCGGCUGCCUGGGGCAGCACCCGACCUGCGGGACGGCCGAAGGUAACUGGGCUGCCUGCUGCCCUCCUGCGUGCUCUUCCCUGUGUGCUGCCGUCCCGGGGUGCCUUUAAUCAUCCCCCUGCCCCUCACAGCUGCUCUUCUGCCAGAGGUAGCCAAGAUACUCCCCAACUCCUUCGGCCAGGCUUCAGAAAUCCCUGGGGAAGAGCUGGGCUGCCACUGCCAGAGGAGCCCUCUGGGUACGUGUGGGGUCGGGGCCCCUCUGUAACCCCCGUUCCAAAGCCGGGGCCCCUCCUGCACCCCCUGCGGUCAUGGCCUCUUUGCACCCCCAGACCCAGGGCCUUCUUGCUCCCCCCAGCCAUUACUUUUCUCCCUGCCCCAAACCAUGGCCCCGUUGCACCCCCAUACAAAACCAUGGCUUUUUGCAUGCCCCACAGAACUACCAUCCUUCCCACCCUCCAAACUAGGAUCCUUCUGCACCCCCCUAGAGCCAUCACCCUUCCCACCUCCCCAACCGACAUCCCACCCCCCAAACCCACAUCCCCUUUAUAUCCCAAUCCAUCAACAACCCACCACAACCUCUGCCCUACCUUCCGACAACCAUUUUCCCUCUUUUCUCCUCCCAUGUGCCCCCCUCCCCAGCUCCUGUGGAUAUUUCCGCCUGACUCAGGUGGGGUCCCCGUGCCGCGGGCACGCCUGGAGCCGCCGGCUGCAGCGGGACAAGCAGGUGUGUGGGGAAUGCUGGGGGAAUCUGCCCCACUGCCGUCCCCACUGCACCAGACACGGGCUGCAAGGAGCCAGGACAUUUUGGGUGGCCACUUCUGUGGUGGGGUGCCAGGGCUCGUGGGUGUGGGAGGGCUGUGUCUGCUCCCCACCAGCUCUCAUCUUUGUGUAGGAUCCCCCUGGGAAGGUUUGCUGUUCACCCUUGGUGCCAGCUCCCUCUGA